AUGAGGACACGCACUUCUGAGGACACGGUUCAAGAUUGGUGGCUGAAGACGAUCAACACGGGAGGGCAUAUCAAGAAAGCUAUUGGCUCUGUUCUGAUGAUUGUCAUGUGGGAAAUCUGGAAGGAGCGAAACGCGAGAGUUUUUCGCAACAUGGCUUCACCGACCACUAUUAUCACUGCCAAGAUCAAAGAGGAUGCCUAUCUUUAGGCGUUGGCGGAAGCCAAACACAUGAGUGCAAUUAUGUCACGAGAGUAG
rnacentral:rRNA from 1 species